rnacentral:rRNA from 1 species
UGGGGAAUAUUGGACAAUGGGGGCAACCCUGAUCCAGCCAUGCCGCGUGAGUGAAGAAGGCCUUCGGGUUGUAAAGCUCUUUCGGCGGGGACGAUGAUGACGGUACCCGCAUAAGAAGCCCCGGCAAACUUCGUGCCAGCAGCCGCGGUAAUACGAAGGGGGCUAGCGUUGUUCGGAAUUACUGGGCGUAAAGCGCGCGUAGGCGGUGAUCUAUGUCAGGGGUGAAAUCCCGGGGCUCAACUCCGGAAUUGCCUUUGAAACAGGAUCGCUAGAGUCCGAGAGAGGAUGGCGGAAUUCCUAGUGUAGAGGUGAAAUUCGUAGAUAUUAGGAAGAACACCGGUGGCGAAGGCGGCCAUCUGGCUCGGUACUGACGCUCAGGCGCGAAAGCGUGGGGAGCAAAC